AGUGAACGCUGGCGGCGUGCUUAACACAUGCAAGUCGAACGAGAACGGAUUAUAGCUUGCUAUAAUUGUCAGCUAAGUGGCGCACGGGUGAGUAAUGUAUAGGUAAUAUGCCUCUUACUAAGGGAUAACAAAUGGAAACGUUUGCUAAUACCUUAUACUCCUUAUUAACAGAAGUUAAUAAGGGAAAGAUUUAUUGGUAAGAGAUUAGCCUGUAUUGUAUCAGUUAGUUGGUGGGGUAAUGGCUUACCAAGACUAUGACACAUAACUGGUUUGAGAGGAUGAUCAGUCACACUGGAACUGAGACACGGUCCAGACUCCUACGGGAGGCAGCAGUGGGGAAUAUUGCACAAUGGACGGAAGUUUGAUGCAGCGACGCCGCGUGGAGGAUGACACAUUUCGGUGCGUAAACUCCUUUUAUAUGAGAAGAUAAUGACGGUAUUAUAUGAAUAAGCACCGGCUAACUCCGUGCCAGCCGCCGCGGUAA
rnacentral:rRNA from 1 species